CUCUCUCUCUCUCUCUCGUGAUUAUCCCCUCUUCAAGCGACUAGAAAAAAUAAAGGGAUAGGAGAAGCCGACCGCUUCGACGUAGCAGAGGCCGGCGGCGGCGGCCACCACCACGUAGUCCGGCAGCGGCGCAGAUCCUUGAUCCAUUGGAUUAAUCCACCACUGGAAGCAGCAGCCUAGUCACCGUUCCUACUCUGACAUCCCCUCAACGUGAAGCUGGUGAGAUACCAGUAUCACAGGCUAAGCCCAUGAAUAUAAAUUCAGUUGUCAUAGAGGAAGACAGCGAAGAAGAUGAAGCAAAAGCGGAAGAAAAUGAAGCAGAAGAAGUAGUCGUUCGUCCUAGGAGGAAGUUGACAUCUCCUGUUUGGAAGGAGUUUAAGAAAGUAAAAGUGAUGAACAGAAUGAAGGCCAAGUGUAAAUGGUGCUCAAAGAAGCUUGGAGGGGAACCAAGAAAUGGAACGAAGCAUCUCCUUGACCAUUUAAAGAUUGUACAUGGAAAGAAGGUUUAGAGCGCAUCACACUAUAGAGGCGGUUCCUUCUGUACUUACUACAAGUCAGCUCAACUUCAACAAAUAAUGAUGCCGAACACAUACCAAGGCUGUAGCUGUUAGCUUGCUACCUCUGCAAUACUUUUGCGCAUGAUCAUGUUUACCUUAAGUUAGUUAUGGUCACAUGGAACCUUAUGUUGGAGUCAAUAAAUUGUGUCAAGUGAGCCAGACAAAUUUCGUAGUCAAUAAAUUAUGUCAAAUGAGUCGGACAAAAUUUUGUCCUUAUUAAAUGUGGUGUUUGUAUUAAUACUCUCUUCAAGCGUGUGCUCAAGCUAUUCAAUAUUUUUAUGAUAUUUGUGUUCAACAAU